AUCUGUGAAAUGGAAAGAAAGGGUUAAACAAAACCAUGCGUGGGACGGGGUUAAAGCCAGGCACCUGGGAAAGUGGGUUCUUAUCAGCUGCAUCUGAAGGGAGGAAGCCGGAAGAAUCGGGAAGUCUGCCCAAGCCUGGCUGUGGUUCCCGAGGGCUGGAGGCUGGGGAUGUGAGUGAGCCAGGAGAUGGGCCAGCACGAGCCUGAAGUCAAGCAGCGCAGGAGGGCGUGAAGUCCAGUGACAGAGACCUCGCUAACCGCUGGUUUGUGGAGUAGAGUCAGGGUUCUUCCGCUCCAGACCCAGAGCCCUCUGUGACCCGUUCCUACCUGCAGAGCAAACGGGGGCUACAGCAGGUCCCUGCAGCAGGAGAGGCAGGGAUGCCUCGAUGACUCAGCCUCGGCCCACCCGAAGCAGCUAGAAACUCGAAGAGGGAUUUUAAGUGAGAGCGAGGCUGGAAACCCAGAGGGGCCUGACCACCGAGAGGCAGGAGUCUAGUCACCUGCCAGCACCAGAUGCCAAAUUCACAGGGGCUCUAAAAGGUCAGAGUAAUCGGCCCUCCACCCCACAGGUUCUCAGAAGGGCUAAGAAGCUGGGGGAACCCAAAAUGAAAAGAUGACAGAACCUGGAGUUCCUGUCAUGGCGCAGUGGUUAACGAACCCGACUGGGAACCAGCGGUUGCAGGU